CGGAGUGUAGCACAGUGGGUAAGGAACUGGGCUUGUAACCGAAAGGUCGCAGGUUCGAUUCUUGUUGUACCCU
rnacentral:tRNA from 1 species